GUAUGUUCAGACACGUCUAUCUUCAGACAAGAACUAACCUAAUUCCUUUCCUUGGAGACUUUGAGAACCUUCUCCAUUGUUGCCAUUUUCAUCUCUAACACCCUUUCUCAAGUUGGAGAGGGAUGAAAGUACUCCCAACUUGCCCAAUAAUCGGUGAUGAAAAGGGCCAGUAAGAGGCUUUGUGAAAAAAUCAGCGAGCUAAGAAGAGGAGCGAACAAAUGAUAGUAAAAUCAAACUUGCCAUGAACUGCUGAUGAACGAAACGAAAACCAAGCUUUGCAUGCUUUGUUCUUUCAUGAAAGACAGAGUCUUUUAGCUAUGUGAAUCGCCGCUUGGCUGUCAGAGUGAAGAGGGACCGGGAGGGAUAUUGGAAUAGAUAAAUCAUCAAAGAGUCUGACUAACCAGGUAAGCUCUGCGACUACACGCCGCAUGGAUCGAUACUCAGCUUCUGCAGAGCUUAGAGAAAUUGUGGUCUACUUCUUCAAUUUCCAAGAAAUAGGAGAAAAUCCCAGCGAAAUGUAGAAACCACUGACAGAUUUGUGCGAUUCUGAGCAUGUGCUCCAAUCGGAGUCACAGAAAGCCAGCAACUGAUACGAAGGGGAGGAAGUCAUGAAUAAACCAAGACCAAGAUCCUUUGAUGAAUAUCGAAGGACACGAAGGGCUGCUUGCAUGUGAGGAACUCUUUGAACCUGCAUAUAUUGGCUUAGAUGUUGUACAGUGAAGGAAAGAUCCGGCCUUGUAUGAGUUAAAUAGUUCAGCUUUCCCAACAAAUGGCGAUACAAGGUCGGGUCUUAGAUAGGAGCACCAGUUUUGGCCAACAAUUUGAUAAUGGGAUCAAGUGGACAAGAAACGGAUGGCUUGUGAGUACAAUAAAAUUCCAGCAACAAAUCAACACUGAAUUUCCGCUGAGUAAGAAUUAGUCCCUUAGAUUCACGCAGUACCUCCAUUCCAAGAAAAUAAUGUAAGUUCCCUAAAUCCUUUAUUUUGAAUUCCUGAUGUAGAAAAACUUUCAAAGCAUGUAGCUCCUCUAAAUUAUUUCCUGUCAAGAGUAUAUCAUCGACAUAGACUGCCACUAUAGAGAAAGAGGAGUCAGACCUUUUAAAGAAUAGGAAAUAAUCAUUGAGAUAAUGGGAGAAACCUUUAAAAUUAAGAGUUGCUGUUAAUUUAGCAUACCACUGCCGGGAUGCUUGACGAAGCCCAUAUAGUGACUUAUUUUACUUGCAAACGUGUGUAGGAGGAGGAGGAGAGAAACCAAUUGGAAACUUCAUGUACACCUCUUCAUUCAAAUCCCCAUGCAGAAAUGUAUUAUUCACAUCUAACUAAAAAAUUCCCAACCUUUCUUAACUGCUGUAUCUAGAAUGCAUUUGAUGGUGGUCAUUUUUACCACUGGGGAAAAUGUUUCAUUGAAGUCUAUCCCUUCUUUUUGAAUAUCCCCUCUAACUACACGUCUAGCUUUGAGACUUUCCACACUUCCAUCAGAGUUAUGCUUUACUUUAUACACCCACUUGCACGGUAAUGCCUUUCUACCAGGAGGUAAUUCCAUGACCUCCAAGGUGUGAUUGAGCUCAAGUGCCUCUAUCUCUCUUUCUAUUGCUUCCUGCCAUCCUGGGUGAUGGGCUGCUUGGGUAUAACUGGUUGGUUCUUGGAUAGCGGAUAGGGAAUUUAGGAGAUUUUGUUUGGAUGUAGAUAGGUUAUUGAAUGGAAAACUAGAAGGUGUUACAGGUGACAGGAAACAAGAACCACUUACAUCAGUCAAUUGAAUAUCAUUGCAAAUGUAGUCCUUGAGGUAAGGGGGAGGGUUGUGUGGCCUUGAGAAUUUUCUAAUAAGAUUGUCCAACAUGGGUUCAGUAGCUGAAGGUGAAGCAGUAUGAAUGAGAGAGUGAGAGACAAAAGAAGAAGAUGGUGUAGGACUGGAAGGUGGAAAAUCAGGAAAGUCUUGCACAGGAUGAUCUUCAUUAGGCAGUUCUGAAUGUUCAGUAGUAGGUUGUGGUAAAUCAAGGGAGAAGGUAUGAGAACUGGACAUUAGUGAAGUAGGUAAAAACGAGUCAGUUGACCCCUUGGAUGUGAUGAGGAAAAAGGGAAGAAUUCUUCAGGAAAAAUAACAUUCCUAGAAACAAAAGGCUUUAGAGUGCUAAGAUUGAGAACCGUGUACCCAUUCUUUCCAUGUGGAUAACCUAAGAAACACAAGGCAUAGCCCUUAGUUGGAAUUUUGUUUUGUGACUUGAGAGAGUAGAAACAAAACACAGACACCCAAAACACCUCAAAUUAAAGUAACUAGGUUUGGAUUUAAAAAGAUCCUCAUAGGGUUUUUUUGUAAGAAAGAACUUUGGAAGGAAAACUAUUGUCAAGUAUGUAGCAGUUAGAACGCAAUCCCCGCAAUAAGCAAUAGGCAAUUUUGAUUGGAAGAGAAGGGCUCGAGAUGUCUCUAAAGGUGUUUAUGUUUCCUCUCCACAACCCCAUUUUGUUGUGGAGAAGCUACACAAGUAGUCUGAUGCAUAAUUCCAUGUGAAGAAAACUAAUUAGACUGCAGACUCCCACUCCCUAAUUCAAAAGCAUUGUCUGACCUUAUUGUCUUGACCUGGGUAUUGAAUUGUCUUUCCACCAUUGCUAAAAAUGACUUAAGAAUUAGGAAUGCAUUUGAUUUUGUACUUAGUAGAUAAGUCCAUGUUCCUCUACUGUAGUCAUCAAGAAUUGUAAAAAAAUAUUUGUAACCAUCAUAGUUUGGCUGCUAUAGGGAUCCCAUGGGUCUAUGUGAAUUAAUGCAAAAAAUUUCUUUGUGGAAAUAGAACUAAUGGGAAAAGGGAGUUUGGACUAUCUAGCCAUAGGAUAAACAACACAAGGCACAGAAAACUUUGAACAAGGUGAAAUAGGAAUAAUAGAUAUAUUUCUCAUGGAACAAAUUGUUUGUCAUUGAAACUCUUUCUAGAUACAAAACUACUAUUGGAAAGUAAAAAACUCUUGGGAAUGGCAGUUGUAGGCCUUGAUUGAAGAAUGUAGAGACCACUUCUCUCCUUGCCAAUCUCCAGAGGGCUCUUCAAAGAAUGGCCUGCAAAAAACAAGAAGUAGAAGUAAAAAAGAGUGGAUUACUAAGCUGCUUACAUAAUUUGUGCACAGAUAGAAGAUUGUACUUAACAGAAGGUAUAUGCAACACAUUGUGUACUACCAGAUUAGAGAAAAGAGCUACUGAUCCAUAAUGAGUUACUAAAACUUUCUGAGAAUUAGGAAGAUUGAUUAUUCUACGCUUGAAUAAAGGCUUGAGAUUAGGAAAAAAAUUCUUAUUAUAAGACAUAUGUUCUGAAGCACCACUAUCUAGUAUCCAUGAAUGACUGUUGAAUUGAAAGAAACAUGCAGGUGACUUAAAGAAUUUGGGUGUACCAGCACAGUUUGCACUUGCAGUACCAUCAGAAGUACUUCCUCUUUGCUGUCCAUCUUCAACUGUUGAAAAAAGCUGAAGUAGCUGAGUUACAUUCUCCUGGUAAGUGAUUUUCCUUCAGUGAUUCCAAAUACCUAUUCUCCUUCUUCAUUUGAUAUUAGAGCAUUGUUUGCCUGGGCUGGUCCCUAAAAUUUCCUUGGCUUUGUGAAUUUGAAAUCUGCAGGAAAACCAUGGAUCCUAUAGCACUUAUCAAUGAUAUGUCCUGGCUUCUUGCAGUAAGCACAAAUCCCUGAACUCUUCUUUGCAUCAUAGGACCCCUUCUGUCCUUUGGAAUCACCAUAUUUCUUCACAUCUGCUUGGUUUAUUACCAUGAAGGAACUAGACUCCCCUGGGUAGGCAGGUACAAUAUGAAUUUCUCUUUGUUUUUCAUCUUGUAUUACCAAAGAGUAUGCCUUACCAAUGGAAUAUAAAGGAGAUGACAACAAUAUGUUUCUCCUAACUCCUAUGAAGGUUUCAUUCAUACCUAUAAGGAAUUUCAAAAGUCUCUCAUCUUGAUGAGCAUUGAUGCUCUUUGCCUUAGCCCCACAAUCACACUCACACACACAAGUACAAAAGGUAUUGAGUGCAUCUAGCUCAUCCCAUAAUCCUUUCAUCUUAGUAAAAUAGGUUGAAACACUCGAGUUACCUUGCACCACAACACUUAGUUCUUUUUGUAGCUGAAAUAACUUGGCUCCACUUGCCUGACCAAACCAAUCUUCCAGAUCAUGCCAUAGAUCUUUUGCACUCUCUGAGUACAAGACACUCUCAGCAAUUUCUUUGGAAAGUGAGAGGAGAAGCCAAGAAAGGACCAUGUCGUUGCAUCUUGCCCAAGCUCUUUGAAGACCAGAAUUUGCGUCUGGAAUAUCUAGGGUUCCAUCAAUGAAUCCUAGGUUGUUCUUAGCGGAUAAAGCUAUGACUAAGGCACUCCUCCACCCACCAUAUCCUCUGCCAUCAAAUACUGAGGAGACCGGUUCGUUCUUGGGUAGUCUGAAGGAUGGAGGUAAUAGGGACGAGUUGAAUCAACUAAACCAAUACCACUAGAACCAGCAGAUACAUUAGUUGUUGGAAUAGGGGGAGAGGAUCUGUAAAAGAAGAAGAUGAAUUUGAAUAAUAAAGAAAUGUGGCUUAAAGCAGAUCAACACUGCUCUGAUACCAUGAAGGAAUAGGAAUAAAAUAGAUUGAGAAAAUUAUCUUUUCUGCAUUGAAUGAAUCAAUAGUGUUGUACAGAACAUUGUUUAUAUACAACAGGGAUGGAAUCUAAAAUAACUACUUAUGCUACGUGUCUCUAAUUUAUUAGCUAAGCUAUAACAAACUAAAGUGUGAUGACCCGGCCGGUCGUCUUUUUAUGCCCCGUUUCCCUAUUAACUGCUUCCUCUAAGUUCAUUUAUACUAUUUUGGUUUGUCGAGAUGUUCGGUAAUAGAAUUCGGAGUGUUUUGGGACACUUAGUCCCUAAGUGAGAGCUUAAGUGUUAAAAAUGGUCCAUAAUUAUAACGGUGUGAAGACGACCUCGAAAUGGAAAUUCAAUGGUUCCGUUAUCUCUGUUAGGUGAUUUCGGGGUUGGGAGCAUGUUUGGAAUGUAUUUUGGAUGUCCGUAGCUCAUUUAGGCUAGAAAUGCCGAAAGUUAAAAUUUUGAUGUUUCCAGUCCGAUAGUGAAUUUUUGAUUUGAGGGUUUGAACGGGAUUCUGGAAGUUUCUGUAGCACCGUCAUGUCAAUCGAACGUGUAUUGGUUAGGUUUUGAAUCGAAAGCGAGUUUUGUUAAGUUUUGAAGUUUUUAAGUUCGAAUUAUUGAUUAAUUCGAGUUUCUGGCGUUGUUGUAGGUAGCUUAAGGAUUGGGAAAAGUUUGAAUGAUGUUAUGGGAUAUGUCUGUAGGUUUGGUUGAGGUCCCGGGGGCCUCGGGUGUGUUUCGGAUGCUCAACGGAGCAUUUUUGGAGUAGAAAACAUUGCAGAAUUCUUCAGCUGUUGCAUGUCUUUUUUUCCUUCGCGAUCGCGUCCCAUUUCACGCGGCCGCAUAGGCCAAUCUGGUAGGGUCCGAAAUUCCUUAAUCGCGAUCGCAGGGAUUGGUUUGCAAUCGCGUAACUCUACCUCUCCCCUAUUCGCGUUCGCGUGCCUUCUUACGCGAUUGCGUAAGGCCAUCUCUUUCCCGUCCGCGAUCGCAUGCUCCUUCUCAUGAUCGCAUAGGGCUCUUUCCUGGAGCCUUUAUUUUGAUCUUCGCGAUCGCGUCCCUAUCUUCGCGAUUGCGAUUCACUAAAUACCUGGGUAAAUAUUAAUAUUUCAAUAACUAAGCCUUCUUCCAUUUUUACAAAAACUCAAGCUAGAGAGCUCGGUCUUGGGAGAUUUUUUGAGGGAUUUUCAGAGGCAAAUAUUGGGUAAUGAUUCCUUACUCCUCUAUGACUAAAACCCACUAAUCUAAUCGUAAUUUCAACCUUUAAUUUCGGAUUUUUGAAUGAAAAUUGGGGUAAAGUUCUUAGAUCUAAUUGUGAGGAUUUGAUGGGUUAUUUGACCUCCAAUUUGGGAGAUUUUUAUAUGGUUAGACUCGUGAGAGUACGAGGUUUAUGAAAAUAUGAAAAUUAUUCGAUUCCGAGACAUUGACCUGAGGAGCAUUUUGAUUAUUUUACCUAUUCUCGCGCCUUAGCUUUAAUUUAAUUGAGACGUUGGCUGUAGGGAAAAUNNNNNNNNNNNNUUGAUCAAGACAAUGUUUCUGAAAAUGUGAAAAUUAUUCAAUUUUGAGACGUUGGCUGUAGGGAAAAUUUGGUCAUUUCACAUAUUUUCGCGCCUUAGCUUUAAUUUUAACAGUGUAAUUAGUUGUUACUUGUGAUGUUAUUUACAAUAUGUAAUUGGUUUGAAUAGAUUUGGGCCACUCGGAGUCUGAUAUUCAUGGCAAAGGCAUUGUUUGUUAGCAAUUUUGUACCGGUUCGAGGUAAGUGGCUUGUCUAACUUUUUGUGGGGAACUCUCCCCUUAGGAUGCUGUUGUUUAAAUGCCUUGUGUGCGAGGUGACGGGCGCGUACUUGUACUAGUUGUUGAAAAUUCACCUUACUUGGCUUAUUUAGACUGUGUUUCUCCGUAUAUUUAGCUGUUAAAAUGCAAUUUCACUUGUUUUAUCUUAGGAAAAGCAUGUUAGUAAUUUAUUUGCUCUAUUUGACUAAAUUGCAAUAUCUGUCCUUUUUGUAAGGAUGCUAGGCUCUAGAUCUUUACAUGUUGUUGUACUUGGCUUCUUUCUAUUAAAUAUUGAAUUGUUUGUGAUAUGUUUACGAUUGGGACUACGAGUUCAAUUCCCCGGAGAUCCCCCUAUUACUUAUAUGAUAGACUACGGUUUAAAUUCCUGGCAUAUUCUCUGUUAUUGAUAUGAUGGACUACGAGUUCAAUUCCUGAUAGAUCCCAUGCUGUUUAUAUGAUGGACUACAGGUUCAAUUCCCGGUAGAUCCUCUGUUAUUGACAGGAUGGACUACGGGUUAGAUUCUCGGUAGAUCUCCUAUUAUUGAUAUGAUAGACUAAGGGUCCAAUUCACGGUAGAUCCUCUAUUAUUGAUGUGAUGGACUGCGGAUUCAAUUCCCGGGAGAUCCUCUGAUGUUAGUAUGAUGGAUUGCAGGUUCGAUUCCCGGAAGAUCCUCAGAUAUUGGUAAGAAUGGACUGCAGGUUCGAUUCCCAGAGCUCCAUGCGGCCUCCUGACUUUUGAGUGAUUGUUCUUGUAUUCGUAGAUUCUAUUUGUAGCCUGUUCUGUUCUAUUUAUUGUCUUGCUAGAUACUUGAGAUUUACUGCAUUUCAUACUAUCAUUUUAUCUUAUACUCAUUCUUAUGUUCAUAUCAGUAGGGCCUCGACCUUCCUCGUCACUACUCCACCGAGGUUAGGCUUGGCACUUACUAAGUACCACUGUGGUUUACUCAUGUUACUCUUCUGCACACUUUUGCUAUGCAAAUCCAGGUACUACUGGUUGGACGCGCUAUUAGGGAUUUUGGAGCUACAUUUGGAGGCUCUAGGUAUGCAUCUGUCGCGUCCAUUGAUCCGAAGAAUUUUGCUAUGCAGAUCUUGGUGCUUCUGGUCGAGCGCGCUAUCAGUGAUUUCAGAGUUACACUUGGAGACUUGAGAUAUACAUCUGCCGCGUCCGUAGAUCCGAAGAAUCUCCUUCUAUUCUACCUUUUAGUUAGCAGUUUCAUUCAUGUAUUCAAUUGUUGUAGACACUUCUGGAUGUCAGAUUCGUGUGUUAUGUUUUUACUCUUAGCCUGUGUUGCCCGUAGAUUUCCGGGUCUUGGAGGUUGUUACAUUGUUUGAGUUGAAGUGUAUGUGUCGGGCGGCACACCAUACAUUUUCUUAUGUUAUUCAGUAUUGUUUAUCAUUUUCGUAAAAGUUGUUGAAUUUCCGCAAUGUGUCAGGCUUACCUAGUCGCGAAAACUGGGUGCAGUCAUGACGGGUUUACGAUUUGUGAACUAGGUUCAUGACAAGUUGGUAUCAGAGCUCUAGGAUCAUAUGAGUCAUGAGACACAUGCCGGUUAUUUAGAGUCUUGCUGAUCGGUACAGAGACGUCUGUACUUAUCUACGGGAGGCUACGUAACUAUUUAGGAAAAUCUUCACUUCAUUUGAAUUCUUGUCGUGCUAUGUUUUUGACCUCGAUUCUAAACUUCUGUCUUC
rnacentral:lncRNA from 1 species